CUUCCUUCUGCCUCCUUCCUUCUUCCUGGCCUGCCCCUCCCCCUUAUCCCUGACAUUCCUCCCCCAGCCCCUGUUUCCAGCAGGCCCCUCUCUGGGUUCUCCAGGUUUCCCAGAGGCCCCUGGGCCCCAAGCCAGGGAGGCCCUCCAUGGACUGUCCUGCCUACACCAGGGAGGGCCACGGCACGUCCUCACCACCAGCCACUGUCUCCGCUGCGAAGGACGACGUGGUGCCUUCCCUCGGGAGCUCGUGGUGGAGGUGUGUGGGGUGAGUGAGGGGAUGAUGGCAGUCGCACGGACAAUACCCCGUGGCGCACGGGGAUGGAGGAGGAGUGGGUAUGACGAGCUUCCGGAGUUCAGGGGAGAAACACCCUUUCUCCAGCCUGCAGUGGAGGUGGGGGCUAGGGGGUUAAGAGGCUGGACUUGAGCUGGCCCUUGUCCUGGAGUGGGGGGACGGCAGGGACACAGCCAACAGAACACUGCCCUCCCAGAGCUUAGGUUCCAGUGGACGAGAGUAACUCCAAGCAAGGCUUCAGGACAGGGGGGUCCGUGAGAGCGCUCACUCUCUGCUUGCCUGGGAUGCCUGGGACCUGGCUCCUGUCUAGCAUCUUAGCACAGGAGGGGGCCCCAGGUGACCUGCUCUCAUCCUCGGCAUUGUCUGCUGUGGUGAUUGUUUCUUUCUGGUAGGAAAGUUCUUCUGUAUGUCAUUGACUGGCUCUGAGGUUUGAACUUAUCCACUGGCCUCCGUUAAUGAGGGGUUUAGACUGCCGGACCGCUCAUGGCCCCGUCCCUGGGACCUGGGGGCUGCGGGGCAGGGCGACCUCUUAGCAGCACGCAGCUGUCUGCAGGCUGGAGCUGGGAGCGCCUGCAGCCUGUCACUCUCUGCUGAGCGGUCUUGAGGAACAGAGCAGAGAAUGGGCGGGGGCCACAGCAUUUUCCAGCAACGGUGGUUCCUGGCUUUCCCUGGGGAGAACUGUAAGCUGCCCCAGGGCAGCGACUCUAACCCCAGAGCCUGCCACAGACCUGGCACCCGGGAGGACAGCCAUAAAUCUUCGUUGAGUAAAUGAACUUUUCUCCCAAAUCGUGGUACCCAGGCGGAUUCUCCUGACUCACAAGGGGCUCUGGCCGUAACUUUGCAUCUCUUCGAUGCCUGCGACCUCAGAGGGCCCUCCCAGCCCUGACACAGUGUGAUCCCUGAUUCACGCCAUUGUCCCGCCCUUGGCAAAUAGCAGCCAACUCCAACUGCUCAUAAAUUUCCUGCCUGUCACCCAUGGCGCCCAGGCCAGGCGGGCGGAGGUGCUGGGGGUGGGCUGGUCCGUACCUGCUUCCAGUUCCCUGGGAAGUUUGGGGGCCAGAAGCCCAGGCCUGUGCUUGUGCCCAGAAUAACCACGGCAGAGCCUGGCCCUUGGAGAAGAUGUGAGAACAGGUCUCCCAAAUGCCUAGAUGUAUGGCUAGAGUGUUAGAGAAAACACAAACACCAGCUUGCAGUGCAAUUUGCACAACGUGACUCCUCUUUCAUAUAGUACUUUGUGGGUGUGCCUAAGCCUGGGGAAAGGAUAUGGAGCAAUAGCCACCAAAUGUACCCGUGGUUUUCCCUUGUGGGGAGAUGGAGGUAAUUUAAAUUUUUUUUCUUCUGUUCCCUCUUCUGUAUUCUCUAAUUUUUCUGUAGUUAACAUGAAGUACCUAUGCAAUUAAGAAAAUUAUUGAGGUUUUUAUUGAGAUUAUAGUCCGUCCAUUUAAAGUGUACCAUUCAAUGGUUUUUAGUAUUUUCACAGAUAUGUGCAACUAUGACCACAGUCAAUUUUAAAACAUUUUCAUCAGCCCCAAAAGAAACCCUUUAGCAAUCACCUCCUACCCCUCAGAUAUCCCCUUCCGCCAGCAUUAGGGAACCUCUCAUCUAUAGAUUUCUCUGUUCUGGAUAUUUCAGGUGAAUGGAAUCAUAUGAAAUGUGGUCUUUUGGGUCUGGCUGUUUUCACUUAGCAUAGCAUUUUCAGGGUUCAUCCGUGUUCCGGCAUGUAGCAGUACUUCUUGCCUUUUUAUGGCUGAAUGCUGUUCCGUUGUAUGGAUCUACCACACUUUAGUUAUCCACUUAUCAGAUGAUAGACUUGACUUAUAUAAUUUUAAAAAUCGUGUAUAUUUUUUAAAGAGAAUCUGUUGAAAGCAAAUUGCUCAAGAUGACAAUUGGCUCAAAGUGACUAUUUCUGGUUACUUGUUUGAGACAUUUCAGCCUGUGAUGCCAUUUUAUGUUUUCAAACACCAGUCGGGGAAACUGAGGACCCAGCUCUUUGCGGGAGCGGGAACCAGCGCCUUCUAGCGCUUCCGCUGUGCGCCAGGCCCUACCAGGGGCGCAGCUCUGUUGUCUCAUUGAUUCUUUGCAGCUGACCUAGAAGGUGGGUACUAUCACUAUGCUCAUUUUAAAGGGGAGGAAACUGAGGCUCAGAAAGGUUAACCAGCCAGCCCAGAGCGCCACGGCCUGCUAACUUUGAGGCCACGAUGAUCCUCAGUGUUCAGCAUUCAGACCUGAACAGGAACCCCCUUUCGACCCCACACAGCAGUGUGCUUAAAAGUGAAAGGUAAAAUCAUGCCAAAUCGUGUGGAUCUUGAAAAAUACUUCUCCCGUGUCCUCCCUACUGGUCUUUCAUGUUUUCAUGUUAAAGUAACUUUUGAAAUUUGACUGUUCUUUUUAGGACAAACCAGUAAAAAACAAAAACAAAAACAACUGUCAGGAUUUCAAUCCCUUUGCACAUCUUUUUUUUUGCAGGUAGAAGCCUGUAUCCAAAUUGCUUAAAUAUAGAAAAAUGUAUAAUUUGAAGAUAGUGAAAAAUGAUUAGAUAGGUCAUGUGGACGUCAGAGACUGAAAAUGAAUUUAAAAAGUAAAAUAACUUAGCAGGCAGAUAUCAUCAUUUUUUAAAUGCCCCCAAAGUGUUAAAAUUACCCUGCAGCACACAGAAGUGAUGGAGAGAGGAGACCAGUGCACUUAAAGCCAGAGACGGGCCUCGUAAGCAGAGGAGGAUAAUUAGGAAUAAAAUAACUGGAAGUGAACGAGAGCA
rnacentral:lncRNA from 1 species